CCCCUAGAUGUUCUGGGCCGCACGCGCGCUACACUGAACAGUUCAACAAGUCUUAACCUUGGCCGAUAGGUCUGGGUAAUCUUUGAACGCUGUUCGUGAUUGGGAUAGACCUUUGCAAUUAUGGGUCUUCAACGAGGAAUUCCUAGUAAACGCAAGUCAUCAGCUUGCAUUGAUUACGUCCCUGCCCUUUGUACACACCGCCCGUCGCACCUACCGAUUGAAUGGUCCGGUGAAAUCUCGGGACGGCGGCUUGGUCGCUUGCGUCCGACUGCUGAAAGUUGCUUAAACCUUAUCAUCUAGAGGAACAAGAAGUCGUAACA
rnacentral:rRNA from 1 species